AUUGAACGCUGGCGGCAGGCCUAACACAUGCAAGUCGAGCGGAUGAAGGGGGCUUGCUCCUGGAUUCAGCGGCGGACGGGUGAGUAAUGCCUAGGAAUCUGCCUGGUAGUGGGGGAUAACGUCCGGAAACGGGCGCUAAUACCGCAUACGUCCUGAGGGAGAAAGUGGGGGAUCUUCGGACCUCACGCUAUCAGAUGAGCCUAGGUCGGAUUAGCUAGUUGGUGGGGUAAAGGCCUACCAAGGCGACGAUCCGUAACUGGUCUGAGAGGAUGAUCAGUCACACUGGAACUGAGACACGGUCCAGACUCCUACGGGAGGCAGCAGUGGGGAAUAUUGGACAAUGGGCGAAAGCCUGAUCCAGCCAUGCCGCGUGUGUGAAGAAGGUCUUCGGAUUGUAAAGCACUCUAAGUUGGGAGGAAGGGCAGUAAGUUAAUACCUUGCUGUUUUGACGUUACCAACAGAAUAAGCACCGGCUAACUUCGUG
rnacentral:rRNA from 1 species